CGGGCGCUUCUAAGGGGUGGACCCCGCUCCUGGACGGUGCGCGACAUGGUGCACGGCGGGUGCUGGGACCGGUUGGGACAUAAAGAAAUAGAGAGAAAACUGAAAAGGUUGACACUGAUGCCUGUCACAUGUACCAUAAGCCAUAGGAGUGACCAGAGCUGCCCAGACGGACCGCCCGGGCCCAGUCCUGGUAUUGUCGGCAGAUUACCCUUAAAGGAGAAAGAAGCUGGAGCUGGGAUAUAAAGUAGUCUUCUAGGAGUACUGCCAGAACCGAUCUGUUUUUACUCUGCUGCUGCUGCUGUUGCUGUUCUGCUGUGUCAUGGGAAGAGAGUUACCUAGCCCACACCAACCCUCAGAAACAGCAAUGAGCCACUUGCUGCAAACUCGAGCUGUGUUUUAUAGAGCUGAAGGAUGAGUUUUCCUGGUGCAGGAUUUCAACUGGAAGAAGAAGGAUUCACUCCCUUGCUGGGCUCCGACAGGGACAUCGCUGUUGGGAGACUUGCAGGAGGCAGAGUGGCGGCGGCAGCACUGACAGUGCAGCAUCACACAGCUUUAUUUCAUGUUGUCGAGGCAAAAUGCUUUAGGUUACAGCUGAGGAGAAAAGCAAAACGAUCCAUUUCUGUAAAUAGGGUUCUUUUUCCCCAAUUUACUUUAAAUUCUUGAAAGGUCUUGUGCUAAGAAAGAGCAGGAAUUCUGCCUCCUCUUAAAAAGCAUUGUUAUAAAAUCUUUACAGUCUCCUUCCACCUGAGCCUGUUUCCUUCAAACACUUGCUUUCAGAAACAAGAGGUUUAAAGGUGACUCUUCUCUUUCCCUUCCUAAGUUUAUGUUCCUUGGAAAGGCCUGAAGAAGCCAAAGGCUGUGUCUGCCUGUGAAUGAAGAAGUUUUGAGUAAACACCAGCAUGCACAUAUACACACAUGCACAGGAUUUAAAGCAUCCCAUUGAAGUGCACAUAUAGGAAAAUCUUUCAUCAUAUGGUAGGCUUUAAUAUCUGCCUUAAAAUUAAUCCCUGACUGAUGGACUCUGUUGUGGCAGAUCACAGGAGGCUCAGUACUGAGGUUCUCUGCAGGGUUUUAAAACAGCCAAAUAAAAUCCCCCCAUUUGCUUUUGGGUUAAUUUGUGGUUUAACAGCAGCUACCUGGGAAAUGCUCAUCUUGUGAGAGCAAGUAAGAAAACUUUAUAAGGCUCCAGUCCUAUUUUUUCCACAACGAAAUAAAGACCUUUCUUGUGGGGUCAGGACAAGAUCUGAUGCUAUUCCACGAGGAAACGGUUAAAGCACCCUGCAGAGUUCUUCAGUUCCUCUGUUAGAGGUAACACCCCUGGGCUUUAUUAGAGCUCGAGCUUCGGACACGGUUCUGGUUACUUCUCAGCAUUGUCUUUGCUUCAUUUUGGUUAGUUUUUGUCACUGAAAACAAAUCUUCUCGUUUCACUUCUCUUUCUAAUUUAUUUCACUCUUUAGUUCCCACAUGUUAGAAAGUGCAGUUUCAUUUCGGCUCUUGACAGCAGAAAGCCCCAUUCCAGAAAGCAAUUUUCAGCAAUGUAUUUGCUUUGCCACUCACUGCGCAAACAGAUCUAAGCAUAAACAAUGCUGACAGGCCCUCAAAACCAAGCCCAAAUUGUGAAACUGGGGCAAAUAGCCUAGAGAACCUGAAAUGUUUUGGGUUUAAAACACUGCCUGCUGUCAAAAAGAGGGUAAAAUAAAGCUUUGUUUACGUGUAGAGCUCAGUGUUUGUUGAUCAAGUUUCUAAGGUGAUGUAGCAGGAAGUACUGAUCUUAGGCAAAAUGACAUGAACAAAGCAUGAAACUAUAAUUCAGCAGCUAUUUGUCAACUAAUAACAGGAAAAUAAAUGAUGUUUAAAAAGCCGUGAGGGGUUGCCAUUGAACUUUUACUCCUCCUUACUGGUGAAUAUAAAGGCAGCCUCUCACCUGCUCUGCUCCUGUAUAUAACUGUUUGCAAGAGUAGAGUUAAAUCACUUGUCAGGAGGAAUGUUUCCAUGGGAUGCAAAUACUUACACUAGCUGCCCUUUCUACGUCAUGUUACGGACAAGACUGAUGCUCGAGCAAGGUUAUAAUGUACCUGCAUCUUCUCCAGCUUGGUGCCAAGCUUGCUGAGUCAUUUUCCCUGUUCCCAUUCUGCAGUCGGCUGCUCGCUCGCUUUUCCCUGUUAUUUGUGUGGGUCGUAAGCUCAGCAACAGAUGAAAAUAAACGCUGAGAUUUCUUCA